GACGAACGCUGGCGGCGUGCUUAACACAUGCAAGUCGAACGAAGAGCGAUGGAAGCUUGCUUCUAUCAAUCUUAGUGGCGAACGGGUGAGUAACGCGUAAUCAACCUGCCCUUCAGAGGGGGACAACAGUUGGAAACGACUGCUAAUACCGCAUACGAUCUAAUCUCGGCAUCGAGGAUAGAUGAAAGGUGGCCUCUACAUGUAAGCUAUCACUGAAGGAGGGGAUUGCGUCUGAUUAGCUAGUUGGAGGGGUAACGGCCCACCAAGGCGAUGAUCAGUAGCCGGUCUGAGAGGAUGAACGACCACAUUGGGACUGAGACACGGCCCAGACUCCUACGGGAGGCAGCAGUGGGGAAUCUUCCGCAAUGGACGAAAGUCUGACGGAGCAACGCCGCGUGAGCGAUGACGGCCUUCGGGUUGUAAAGCUCUGUUAAUCGGGACGAAAGGCCUUCUUGCGAAUAGUGAGAAGGAUUGACGGUACCGGAAUAGAAAGCCACGGCUAACUACGUG
rnacentral:rRNA from 1 species